AUACGGAGGGUGCAAGCGUUAAUCGGAUUUAUUGGGCGUAAAGAGCGCGUAGGCGUUUUAGAAAGUCGAACGUGAAAACCCAGGGCUCAACCCUGGGACUGCAUUCGAAACUUCUAGAAUUGAGGGUGGACGGAGAGAGCGGAAUUCCACGUGUAGCGGUGAAAUGCGUAGAUAUGUGGAAGAACACCGGUGGCGAAAGCGGCUCUCUAGUUUACUCCUGACGCUGAGGCGCGAGAGCAAGGGGAGCAAACAGGAUUAGAAACCCCAGUAGUCC
rnacentral:rRNA from 1 species